rnacentral:rRNA from 1 species
CCAAUAGCGUAUAUUAAAGUUGUUGCAGUUAAAAAGCUCGUAGUUGAAUUUCGGGGUCAGUAGGUUGGUCGUGCCACCGGUACGUACUGGUCUCACUGAUUCCUCUUUCCUGAUGAGCUGUAAUGCCAUUAAUUUGGUGUUGCAGGGAAUCUGGACUGUUACUUUGAAAAAAUUAGAGUGUUUAAAGCAGGCUAACGCUUGAAUACAUUAGCAUGGAAUAAUGAAAUAGGACGUUCGAUCCUAUAUUGUUGGUUUCUAGGAUUGACGUAAUGAUUA